rnacentral:rRNA from 1 species
GACGAACGCUGGCGGCGUGCCUAAUACAUGCAAGUAGAACGCACAGUUUAUACCGUAGCUUGCUACACCAUAGACUGUGAGUUGCGAACGGGUGAGUAACGCGUAGGUAACCUGCCUGGUAGCGGGGGAUAACUAUUGGAAACGAUAGCUAAUACCGCAUAAUAUUAAUUAUUGCAUGAUAAUUAAUUGAAAGGUGCAAUUGCACCACUACCAGAUGGACCUGCGUUGUAUUAGCUAGUAGGUGAGGUAACGGCUCACCUAGGCGACGAUACAUAGCCGACCUGAGAGGGUGAUCGGCCACACUGGGACUGAGACACGGCCCAGACUCCUACGGGAGGCAGCAGUAGGGAAUCUUCGGCAAUGGACGAAAGUCUGACCGAGCAACGCCGCGUGAGUGAAGAAGGUUUUCGGAUCGUAAAGCUCUGUUGUAAGAGAAGAACGGGUGUGAGAGUGGAAAGUUCACACUGUGACGGUAUCUUACCAGAAAGGGAUGGCUAACUACGUG